rnacentral:rRNA from 1 species
UACGAAGGGGGCUAGCGUUGCUCGGAAUUACUGGGCGUAAAGCGCACGUAGGCGGCUCGUUAAGUCGGAGGUGAAAUCCUGGAGCUCAACUCCAGAACUGCCUUCGAUACUGAUGAGCUCGAGUUCGGGAGAGGUGAGUGGAAUUCCGAGUGUAGAGGUGAAAUUCGUAGAUAUUCGGAAGAACACCAGUGGCGAAGGCGACUCACUGGACACGUAUUGACGCUGAGGUGCGAAAGCGUGGGGAGCAAACAGG